rnacentral:antisense_RNA from 1 species
ACCCAAGGCUGUGUGUCCAAAGGCAACUGCACUGAAUACUGGAAAGCAUUUAUUUGUUUGCUAAAUUGCUCUCUUUCCACCAGCGAUAUCAACUCUGAAAUACUUUUUAGAUCUUGACAAUAAUCAAAAGGUAGCCAGGUGCAUCGGGGAAAGCACUGACAUUGGAGUCAGACAGACUGAAGUUCAUAUCUGAUUCUGCUAUAUGACAAUGUG